rnacentral:lncRNA from 1 species
UCUCGGGACUGAAUUUCGGUGAAUUUGAUAGCAAUUGAUUUGAAUUUUGCUCAGAUGGGUUGUGAAUUUAUAUUCAGCAAGUGUCACAAACAUGGAAAGGCAAGUUUACAAAGGACAGGAGACUUAGAAAGGCUUCAAUUGACGUAGCCGAAGAGAGGCGAGAAGCCGAAGAUAGACCGACUCCAAACGGUGCCCAGUGCAAUAAUGUUUCUGGUGCGGAGUUGUCAGGAUGGAGUCCGAGGAAUCAAGGAAGGCAGAGGACCUGCGUAUGAAGGAACCAGCCCUGCGGAUGAAGUUCUGAGGUGCAUACAGAGGGAUUCCACUGAAAGACCAGGUGCAAUGCUGCAUUGAUAAGAUCCAGAUACAAGAGCAUGGAUGCUACCAGAUCCUGUGAUUUGAAGUUACCAGUGUCACUGCUGCUACAAAUGACAUCAGCAACCAACACUUCGUUUGGUGAAAGUUUAGAGGAGCAAACAGUUGGUGCUCUGUGUAGUCAAGCAGUGGAAUUUUGCCACAAUCAUGAAGUUGAUUAAGGUGUCAAUUUUUGCUCUGGCUUCUGGGACACCUUGGAUCUACAUUGCAACCUAUGCUAGUGUUCAACAUUUUGUGUCAUAGUCAGGGCUGCGGAGUCGGAGUCGGAGUCGACAGUUGUGACCGGAGUCGGAGUCGGAGUCGAUUUUAGAAACCCGAGCCGGAGUCGGAGUCGGAGUCACCGAAAAUCUGUCGACUCCGCAGCCCUGCUAGGUCUGCGGAGUCGGAGUCGGGAGUUGGAGUCGGUCGGAGUCGACAAUUCUGCCCGGAGUCGGAGUCGGAGUCGGGGCUGGUUUUUGAAAGCCGGAGUCGGAGUCGGAGUCGGACUUCGGAGCCGCCGAAAAACCAUCGACUCCGCAGCCCUGGUCAUAGUAUCACUGAUGUAAAGCGUGUUGCAUCAUACACAAAUGAGAGCCAGCAAAUUGUCAGAUAUUUUCUAGUGAUAGAGAACUGCAUGCCUUAAGCAAUUGUUGAAGGUGAUAAGUGGUGAAUGGUAGGGCUCAGCCACUCAGCUCCUUCCUUCAAAAGCUAUCAAUCAGCUCUAGAAGAGUAUUCAUAGCAAUGCUUCAUAUGUGAAGGCUACUUGACUGAACAGAACAUUGUGGAUUUGUUAAGUACCUCUUUAUUACAAUUUUGUGCCCAUUACAAGCCAAGCUUAGUUUACUUAGUUUGUUGCAAGUUUUCCAGGCAGCCUUCACACUUGUGUCGCUGAAUAUUAAACUUUAACUGAAGACCGACGAGAUAUUGUCCCUUUCGCAUCAGAUUGUAAUCAGUCAGUCGUGUUGGUAGAAGGUACAGUCUGUCUUAAAGUACCGCGCAAAGUGACGGUGGAUCCAUCAAGCCUGACCGAGGAAGGGCCUGCUAUAAUUUGAAAGUCACCGAACCAAUUGACCUGGGGAACGGACGAGGAUGUCAUGUAGAGCCACGCAGAAAUCGCCGGUGAUUCGUUGCCCAUCAUUACAGAAUGAACGCAUGCCGGAUGAAGGGUUAAGUCAAUAGUCUGUACAAACUAUAUACAGGGAUGUGAUUGACAGUGACGAGCGCUAGAGGUCAACUUAAGACCGUAGGUAUGCGUUCUUGUCAUGGAAUGUGUACUGCAAAUCGAUUGUUUCAUGCGUGUGAAUAUAUGUCUGAAUGUAA